rnacentral:rRNA from 1 species
UUAUUAUACAACACCUUCCGCCAGGAACUACAAGUAAAAAACUUAAAACUCAAAGGACUUGACGGUAUUCCAUAUCGACCUAGAGGAGCCUGUCCUAUAAUCGAUACCCCCCGUUCCACCCAACCUCAGCUAGCAAAACACAGCCUAUAUACCGCCGUCGACAGCCUACCCUAUGAAGGUUUAACAGUAAGCACAACAGCCUAACCGCUAAUACGUCAGGUCAAGGUGUAGCAAAUGAUGAGGAAGAGAUUGGCUACAUUUUUUAUCUUAAAAAACACGAAAAGUACUAUGAAACACUACUUGAAGGUGAAUUUAGUAGUAAAAUAGACAAGACUAUCUAUUUUAAUAUCGCUCUGGAAUGCGUACACAC